rnacentral:rRNA from 1 species
AUACGUAGGGGGCGAGCGUUGUCCGGAAUUACUGGGCGUAAAGGGUGCGUAGGCGGUCUGGUAAGUUGGAUGUGAAAUACCCGGGCUUAACUUGGGUGCUGCAUCCAAUACUGUCGGACUUGAGUGCAGGAGAGGAAAGCGGAAUUCCUAGUGUAGCGGUGAAAUGCGUAGAUAUUAGGAGGAACACCAGUGGCGAAGGCGGCGUUCUGGACUGUAACUGACGCUGAGGCACGAAAGCGUGGGGAGCAAACAGGAUUAGAUGCCCAGGUAGUCCACGCCGUAAACGAUGAAUACUAGGUGUAGGGGGUAUAGACUCCCUCUGUGCCGCAGCAAACGCAAUAAGUAUUCCGCCUGGGGAGUACGGCCGCAAGGUUGAAACUCAAAUGAAUUGACGGGG